UUUCCUGAAAACUCCAGCAAUUAGGAUGCUUGAAUGAUUCAAUUUUGAUGUAAGGUUUCUACUUCUACAUACUAUUAUGGAUCUCUCAUAGUCAUAGGUUAUCACAAUAAAUUUUACAACUCCUACUACAAGAAUGACAGCAUAUUAGCAAGAGAUUUUAAUUUCACAAAAAGAGAGUUGGCAACAUAGAAGAAGAGUGAAAGGAUUGUAUAGUACCUGUAGGAAAUUACUGUUUCUGACUUCCUCGAAAUCAUCUUUAAUAUAGAGAAGGGCUCCUGAUAUGACACCUGUGACAAUGGCGGGCGAAGAUGUUUUUAAAACAAUGCACACUCUACUUAAGAAUCUAAAGAAAUCUACUUCGCAUGAAAACCCCCUAGCUGCCUGUGAUGUUACUACGUUUUGAUCUACUGGCUUAGCCUCAAACGUUUAGCAUAUAGAGGGAGCUUGCAGUGAAUGUCAUUACUGUGGCACUUGAUGCUAGUUUAAACGAUGAGAAGGCCCGAGUGGAGUGUUGCAGAGCACUUCUAAUAUUGUGUGGGCACUUUUCCUCUAGUGGGAGGAUACUGACCAAGACUAGUAUCUUCGAAGAAGCAGAUUAUAAUAUCAACAUAUACGGAAGUAAGACUUCAAAGCCAUGAAGAAGAGGGUCUACUGUGGGAUCAUGCAACCAUUUUGUCUGAGAGUUUUCUUCUCUGGGUCUUUAUUGACACCAAGUCAACAUUUAUAAUGAAGAGUUAUGGUCACAUGAGAGCAAUAGAACUUCACUGACAUGACAUGUACAUGACCGUCUCUAGUUAGUGUUGCAAUCGUACAACCUCUAUACCUGUUGUCGUGGGUGAUGAAGUUAAUUAAAAUGAUAGAAAAAUGAAGAAGCAAGGGGAGAAGAGUUGUUAAUGAAGUUGUUAGAAUCACUAGCUGGAAAUGGAGAAAGCCCAUUUGUGAACAACUUAUGUAGAUGCCUAGAAUCUAAACCCCUAGAUUUGGUUAGGGUGUGUCCAAUAAUGGUUAAAUGGUUGACCUCUUCGCUCUCCAAGCUAAUGAAUGUGGGAUUUCAUCUUCCUGGACGAAAGGGGAACUUGAGCUAAAGACUCUUGCUUCAGUGUCCUUAAUUUCAGUAAAAUAUCAGGACUCUGUUGAAGACAAUGGCAGAAGAUAUUGCUCACCUUCUUCAUAAGCUUGUGGAUGUAACAUGGACUGAGUUUGAGUUUUGAUAGUGUUUAAUGUUUAGAGAAAGCAAAUACUUUUUAAGUUUUAACUAUGUACAUCCUUCUCUAGAAAACAGCAUAUUGCAUAUCGAUUUCAUUAACUUAGGUUAUAGGAAAGAAGCGGUAGUAUCGGCGGACAGAGAGAGAGAAACAGACCAGUA